GACGAACGCUGGCGGCGUGCCUAAUGCAUGCAAGUCGCACGGGUCUCCUUCGGGAGUUCAGUGGCGAACUGCUGAGGAACACGUGGGGACCUAUCCGUCAGUGGGGGACAACACCGCGAAAGCGGUUCUAAUCCCGCAUACGCUCUGCGGAGGAAAGCGUGGCAACACGCGCUGAAGACUGGCCCGGCGUCCCGUCAGGUAGUUGGCGGGGUAACGGCCCACCAAGCCCGUGACGGGUAGCUGGUCUGUGAGGAAGACCAGACAGACCGGGACUGAGAGACGGUACGGAAUCCUACGGGAGGGAGCAGAACGGGAUUUUCGGCCAUGGGCGGAAGGAUGACCGAGCACCGAUGCGUGAGGGAUGACGGCCUUCGGGUUGUAAACCGCAUGUGGGGGGGAAGAAACUGACGGUACCCACCGAAUAAGCCCCGGCUAACUCUGUG
rnacentral:rRNA from 1 species